rnacentral:tRNA from 1 species
UUGUGGAUUUAGCUCAGCGGUAGAGCGUUUGCCUAGCAAGCACAAGGUCCUGGGUUCGAUCCCCAGCUUCAAAAA